UGACACAUAGCUCAGUUGGUAGAGCGCUUGACUGUUAAUCAAGAUGUCGCAGGUUCGAGCCCUGCUGUGUCAG
rnacentral:tRNA from 1 species